rnacentral:lncRNA from 1 species
CGUUUGCCUCUGCGUGCGUCUGUUCCGCAAAUCCUCGUACGCGUCGGUUCUGCCCGUUUCAAAGCUGCACAACGCCUGUGCAUAGACCAGCUCCCGCUUCCAGCAACCGACCUUUCCACGUAAAACUCCAAGCUCCACACCAUGCUUUUACGUUCGUGCAACCACGUCAUGCCUUUCUAUGCGUAAAAUGCCACGCACCACGCC